UACACUAGCAAGAUUUUGCUGAAAGGACC
rnacentral:piRNA from 1 species